GGGGAUGUAGCUCAGUGGUAGAGCACUUGUCUUUCAUGUGCAAGGCCCUGGGUUCAACCCCUAGCAAUGCAA
rnacentral:tRNA from 1 species